rnacentral:rRNA from 1 species
AAGAAUGGUUAAUCUCCUAAAUGCAUUAAAUUCCAUUUGAUUUGGGAAGCUAAGCAGGGUUAGCCCUGAUUAGUACUUGAAUGGGAGACCAUCAGUGAAUAGCAGUGGGGUAUCUUUC